rnacentral:rRNA from 1 species
UACGAAGGGGGCUAGCGUUGCUCGGAAUUACUGGGCGUAAAGCGCACGUAGGCGGAUCUUUAAGUCAGGGGUGAAAUCCUGGAGCUCAACUCCAGAACUGCCUUCGAUACUGAGAGUCUUGAGUCCGGGAGAGGUGAGUGGAACUGCGAGUGUAGAGGUGAAAUUCGUAGAUAUUCGCAAGAACACCAGUGGCGAAGGCGGCUCACUGGCCCGGUACUGACGCUGAGGUGCGAAAGCGUGGGGAGCAAACAGG